CUUUGAUUAUGGCUCAGGAUGAACGCUAGCUACAGGCUUAACACAUGCAAGUCGAGGGGCAUCAGUUUGGUUUGCUUGCAAACCAAAGCUGGCGACCGGCGCACGGGUGAGUAACACGUAUCCAACCUGCCUCAUACUCGGGGAUAGCCUUUCGAAAGAAAGAUUAAUAUCCGAUAGCAUAUAUUUCCCGCAUGGGUUUUAUAUUAAAGAAAUUCGGUAUGAGAUGGGGAUGCGUUCCAUUAGUUUGUUGGGGGGGUAACGGCCCACCAAGACUACGAUGGAUAGGGGUUCUGAGAGGAAGGUCCCCCACAUUGGAACUGAGACACGGUCCAAACUCCUACGGGAGGCAGCAGUGAGGAAUAUUGGUCAAUGGACGCGAGUCUGAACCAGCCAAGUAGCGUGAAGGAUGACUGCCCUAUGGGUUGUAAACUUCUUUUAUAUGGGAAUAAAGUUGUCCACGUGUGGAUUUUUGUAUGUACCAUAUGAAUAAGGAUCGGUUAACUCCGUGCCAGCAGCCGCGGUAAUACGGAGGAUCCGAGCGUUAUCCGGAUUUAUUGGGUUUAAAGGGAGCGUAGGCGGAUUGUUAAGUCAGUUGUGAAAGUUUGCGGCUCAACCGUAAAAUUGCAGUUGAUACUGGCAGUCUUGAGUGCAGUAGAGGUGGGCGGAAUUCGUGGUGCAGCGGUGAAAUGCUUAGAUAUCACGAAGAACUCCGAUUGCGAGGGCAGCUCACUGGAGUGUAACUGACGCUGAUGCUCGAAAGUGUGGGUAUCAAACAGGAUUAGAUACCCUGGUAGUCCACACAGUAAACGAUGAAUACUCGCUGUUUGCGAUAUACAGUAAGCGGCCAAGCGAAAGCAUUAAGUAUUCCACCUGGGGAGUACGCCGGCAACGGUGCAACUCAAAUGAAUUGACGGA
rnacentral:rRNA from 1 species